rnacentral:rRNA from 1 species
GAUGAACGCUGGCGGCGUGCCUAAUACAUGCAAGUCGAGCGAACAGACGAGGAGCUUGCUCCUCUGACGUUAGCGGCGGACGGGUGAGUAACACGUGGAUAACCUACCUAUAAGACUGGGAUAACUUCGGGAAACCGGAGCUAAUACCGGAUAAUAUAUUGAACCGCAUGGUUCAAUAGUGAAAGACGGUUUUGCUGUCACUUAUAGAUGGAUCCGCGCCGCAUUAGCUAGUUGGUAAGGUAACGGCUUACCAAGGCAAGUAUGCGUAGCCGACGUGAGAGGGUGAUCGACCACACUGGAACUGAGACACGGUCCAGACUCCUACGGGAGGCAGCAGUAGGGAAUCUGCCGCAAUGGGCGAAAGCCUGACGGAGCAACGCCGCGUGAGUGAUGAAGGUCUUCGGAUCGUAAAACUCUGUUAUUAGGGAAGAACAAAUGUGUAAGUAACUAUGCACGUCUUGACGGUACCUAAUCAGAAAGCCACGGCUAACUACGUG